rnacentral:misc_RNA from 1 species
UGCAAAGUUCAUAUAUAUAAUCAAUUGAUCAGUUGUCAACUAGUUGGCAUCAUUGAAUCUUUCAUCAUUAUGACCCUUAAAUCUGCUGGAAUCGGAUGUUGCUUCAAGCCUAGACACAAUGACACACAAAAUUAGUUUUUUGAACGCUUCCCAAUUGUAGAGAAGUAAAUAGGGUCCCAAAAAUUUAUGGCAAAUAAGAGUAUAUGGUCUGUAAAAAUCUCCAUACCUUCAACAAAUUAUUGUAGAUGAGUUAGUCGACCAAAUAGUUAAUGACUCCAUAAUUUUUAAGCUGCUAUGGUGUGACUAAAACAAAUUAGCAAGCAUUAAGAUUGAGGGAAACUAUAAGAUAGUAUGUACCAGUCACUCAAAAGAAACAGAAAUGAACAUAUACCAGUCAUAGUAUUAAAAAAGGACUUUCUGGCACAUGAGAGUCCAAUACAAAAUUGCUCUUCUCCGGAAUCUUCAACAAGACAGAAUCAUUAUCAAUUUCCAAAGUCUAAAAUUGAAGACACAAUAGCUGCAGAAUGCUCAUUUGAAAUCCCUUCGCUCGUUCAGACUUAUAAUAGAACUCUUUGAUUUCUUUGCAGGUUAACAAUUUCAAAGAACAUAUUGCCACUUAUGACUUGCAACUAGUUCAAGAGGGGAAGAAUUAUGCAUUCCAGGCUUGAAAAUACAAAAGCUAAUUCCUCGAGCAUGCUUGUCAGAUUUGAUCUUCAACUCUAAUCUUAACCCAGCAAGAACCAGUGCUAAAUCUCACUCAGAACAUGCAUCCGGUGUUAGAAGUUCCAACCAAUUCUGCAACAUUGAACAGAUCAAGCUUGUUGUCUUUGAGUACCUUCCAUAUCACACGCCUAGAGAUAAGGCUUCAUUUUGGGGGCAAAUGCUUUACAUUAUCUGGAAGAAAUUCCAGAUUGUCAUGUUGUUUUCCAGAAGAAACUUCUGAUUCUUGUAAUCAUAGUUUGUAGCAGCCAUCCU